GACGAACGCUGGCGGCGUGCUUAACACAUGCAAGUCGAACGCUGAAGCUCAGCUUUUGUUGGGUGGAUGAGUGGCGAACGGGUGAGUAACACGUGAGUAACCUGCCUCCUUCUUUGGGAUAACGCCCGGAAACGGGUGCUAAUACUGGAUAUUCACUGGUCUUCGCAUGGGGGUUGGUGGAAAGGAUUUUUCUGGUGGGGGAUGGGCUCGCGGCCUAUCAGCUUGUUGGUGGGGUGAUGGCCUACCAAGGCUUUGACGGGUAGCCGGCCUGAGAGGGUGACCGGUCACAUUGGGACUGAGAUACGGCCCAGACUCCUACGGGAGGCAGCAGUGGGGAAUAUUGCACAAUGGGCGCAAGCCUGAUGCAGCGACGCCGCGUGAGGGAUGGAGGCCUUCGGGUUGUGAACCUCUUUCGCUCAUGGUCAAGCCGCAACAAUGGUUGUGGUGAGGGUAGUGGGUAAAGAAGCGCCGGCUAACUACGUG
rnacentral:rRNA from 1 species